CUGCCCCGUGGGACUCAGCUCCUAAUGCUUCUGAAAUGUGAUCCAGAGAAGAAAUAUUCUCCAAAGCAAUCAGUAAGUUUGCAGCAAUGAAACUGCUUAAAUCACACUGGAUUCAUUGCACAAAGAGAUCCAAGCACCUCCAUUCCCAAUCACACACAGACAAAGUGUGAAUGUUUUCAGGAAAGUUUAGUGGGAACAAACUACACAAAAAUAUACAAAAGAUUCUCUC
rnacentral:lncRNA from 1 species